rnacentral:tRNA from 1 species
GCAAAGAUAGUUUAAACUAGAAUGUGAAGGUUGUGGUCCUUCGGGUGGGUAUAGAGGCCCUCAAUGCU